CAAGAACGUAUACUAAAGUUGUUGCGGUUAAAAAGCUCGUAGUUGGAUUUCUGUGAAGGACUGCCGGUCCGCAUUAUGUGCGUGUAUCUGGUUCGGCCUUUGCAUCUUCUUAGAGCACGUGCGGAUUCAUUUUCGUACGGAUUCUAAGACUUUUACUUUGAGGAAAUUAGAGUGUUCACGGCAGGCAAUCGCCUUGAAUAUGUUAGCAUGGAAUAAUAAUAUAGGCACGAGAUCCUAUUUUGUUGGUUUCUAGGAGCUCAUGAAUGAUAAAUAGGGACAGUUGGGGGCAUUCGUAUUACGGCGUCAGAGGUGGAAUUCUUAGAUUGCCGUACGACGAACUACUGCGAAAGCAUUUGCCAAGGAUGUUUUCAUUGAUCAAGAACGAAAGUCGAGGGAUCGAAGACGAUUAGAUACCGU
rnacentral:rRNA from 1 species